rnacentral:rRNA from 1 species
CAGGACGAACGCUGGCAGCACGCUUAACACAUGCAAGUCGAACGGAGAUAAUUGAGUUACUUAGAUUAUCUAGUGGCGGACGGGUGAGUAACACGUGAGCAACCUACCUUAGAGAGAGGGAUAGCUUCUGGAAACGGAUGGUAAUACCUCAUAACGUAACUGUACCGCAUGAUAUAGCUACCAAAGAUUUAUCACUCUGAGAUGGGCUCGCGUCUGAUUAGAUAGUUGGUGAGGUAACGGCUCACCAAGUCGACGAUCAGUAGCCGGACUGAGAGGUUGAACGGCCACAUUGGGACUGAGACACGGCCCAGACUCCUACGGGAGGCAGCAGUGGGGAAUAUUGCACAAUGGGGGAAACCCUGAUGCAGCGAUGCCGCGUGGAGGAAGAAGGUUUUCGGAUUGUAAACUCCUGUCUUAAAGGACGAUAAUGACGGUACUUUAGGAGGAAGCUCCGGCUAACUACGUGCCAGCAGCCGC